GAAUACUGAAUUGAACUUCGUUUAUCCUUAUGCUGUCAAAAGCCUGAAACUCAUAUUUGAAGCCUACAUACAGUGGAAUUAGACAAACGUUCUUGGGCAUGGAUGAUGGAUCUUUUCUGAAUCUUGCAAGUGUAACCUGUGUCAGCAUGUUUGUCGAGUGUACAACUGUUUCUACAGCCGCUCAGAAGGCAACCCAGCUGAGAGAUAGUUCCAGUUUCAGUGAAUGUACAAUUGUACAUGAAGAGUGUGAAGUGUAUUUAGUACAUUUCCAGAUCUGCUUGAUGAAAGUCAAAUGUCUUACUGAAUUCGUCACCCAAAUGAUAAAGAACUAUUUGUGACGUCCCAUGAGAUCGCGAGUCGGCCGCCAGUUUCAAUCUACAACGCAGUUUCUUUAUGGAAUCGUGAGUCCUGAGCCAACGCUAGCUUUUGUCCAUGACAGAAGAGGAACUUCUACCAACGUUCGGGUCCUUAUCUUCACCACGUACGCUGCUUCUUGUGCUUCAUUGGCGAAUUAAAUCACUUCAGUGUUCGCUUCCGCCCGCUGUGACACACCUGUCAUCAUUCACCACGGGAUUAUGCCGAGGUAAUGCAGAGGAGACGUCGAAAAGAUGGAUUUUCUCAUCUUUAACAGUCGUCAACGGUCUCCGUCGGACGUUGCCCCCUGCUUCUGGUGCAAACGAAACUCGGUGGAAUCGCGACCGACACCGAGACUCGUCACCAACGUGGAUCAUCGUAUUGUUGGUAUUAUUGCGUUUGUGUUAGUUAACCCGUUGGCUGCCACACCUUUGUUCUCCACUGCACGGGCCGCGCUGUUCGGUCUCGUGGUUUAAAAGCUGCGUGGUCGGGGAGUCGCCAAGCCCAAACUUUGCCGCAAGGCAAGCCUGUUAAAAGGCAAUGCACCUUAGUCCCCCCCCCCCCCUUUGUCAGCACGGACUUGUCAGCAAUGGCAAGUCCCACUUGGUCAUGGAUCCUUCAGACGUGGCACGUA